CCUACGGGGGGCAGCAGUGGGGAAUAUUGCACAAUGGGCGCAAGCCUGAUGCAGCCAUGCCGCGUGUGUGAAGAAGGCCUUCGGGUUGUAAAGCACUUUCAGCGGGGAGGAAGGCGGUGAGGUUAAUAACCUCAUCGAUUGACGUUACCCGCAGAAGAAGCACCGGCUAACUCCGUGCCAGCAGCCGCGGUAAUACGGAGGGUGCAAGCGUUAAUCGGAAUUACUGGGCGUAAAGCGCACGCAGGCGGUCUGUCAAGUCGGAUGUGAAAUCCCCGGGCUCAACCUGGGAACUGCAUUCGAAACUGGCAGGCUAGAGUCUUGUAGAGGGGGGUAGAAUUCCAGGUGUAGCGGUGAAAUGCGUAGAGAUCGGGAGGAAUACCGGUGGCGAAGGCGGCCCCCUGGACAAAGACUGACGCUCAGGUGCGAAAGCGUGGGGAGCAAACAGGAUUAGAUACCCGGGUAGUC
rnacentral:rRNA from 1 species